CAGAGCUGCAAAACUCCCACAAACCAUCGCGAAUCUUACCCGCACGGUUGCCUCGGCGCUGGCGGUCCGGAAGGCCCUCGGGCCCCCCGGAUCCUCGGGUCUCCCGCUCGCGGGAGGCUGCCCGCCGGAGUGCCGAAACCAAACUCUUGAUAUUUUAUGUCUCUCUGAGUAAACUUUUAAAUAAGUCA
rnacentral:misc_RNA from 1 species